UUGGGGUGGUCGAAUUUGCUCUCAGAUUGCUGGAAGCAUGUGUGUUCCACGAGAGACCUGAGAAAGGAAGUCGUACUAGACGCGGUGAAGUGUAGCAUCAUCGUGUAGAGCUCGCUGCAGUUCUGGCAUAGUGACGCGGGACAGCCCCUACUGAACAUGACGUAUGUAUACUAACUCGUCCUCAUCAUUGUCCUCUGUUGUAUCUUCCGCACUGUAAGGUACGUCAAGGCGGGAUAGGACGUCAGCUACGAAGUUCUGCUCUCCUUUCUUGAAUUCUACGCCGUAUAGUUGUGCCGGAGGAGACCCGCGUCCCAUUUUGAUCGGAUCGGCCUCCGAUUCAAACGCCCUCCGAAAUCGUACCUUUGGGAGUGCGUUUGGGAGAGGGAAAACGAGGGUGAACUCCUCUCCCCCAUGUACUGAUUGCAUAAAACCCCUACCGAAAUACUUUUCUGGCUACGCUGCUGAUGCUGCGGUAUUUGGAGAAGAUCAGGGAAGUGCACACAGACCGUGGCUCAUUCUCAAUUCAAGCCGGACUGCCACCCGAAGUUUUAUAAAGCGCGUCCCAUUAUUUUUGCAUUUUGCACUCAAAUGGAACAAGAUCGGCAGCAACAGGUCGCGAAUGCCCAUAGGAGCUUCAUCGUGGGCGGCACCGAAUGUCGUUGUUCGUGAACCCAGCGGUCAUGCGUACACUCAUCUUUAUGUUCCAGACCACUCAACAGUCGAUUGGUACACGUGACGCAGUUCCUUUUUCCCUUUCCGGAAGAGCUAUUCGCCACGUUAAACGUAGGACCCUCUUAUGGAGCUCGACGACGAUUUGAAGAACGUAGAAUCCUCAUCAAUACUCACAAAGCACUCCUCCGUCGAAUGUCUUUCGCAAUUGCUCCGGUGCCUGUAAUUUUCCAAAGAGUGAUGGAACAAUAUCGUUGGGUCGCGUUAUGUAACCUGCCACUUGAAUAAUGUUGUCAGCGAUACUGCGUUUGGGGAGCAUUAUUCGAACUAUGAGAACCUUUUGCAACGCCUUAAUGGAUUCAUAUUGAAGGAUGAAAGAAGUGUACGUUUUGAAACUGGAAAUGCAGUAUAUUUAGCACAAACAUUGCCGGGAUAAUGUGUCUCGAAGAAGAGCACGUGUAUGCAUGCUAUGCUGAAUAUAUCCGAAUAAAAUAACGAGUAGGAAUUGCGAGCACUGAUAUGAGUCUGAUUCAGUAUUAUCGGCAUCUUCCCAGGGUUGCAGAUAGGUGUGUACUCUUUUAUCGAGCUACUUCGAAAGGGUACACCAUGGCAACCGUGGCCAGAAUAUGGCGGUGAGACAAGAAGCAGUCGAACAUGAGAAAUUGAUGUUCUGAGCCUGGAACACACAGAAGGACAAAUCCACCUUUCAUCAAGAAGCAGUCGUUUUUCUUGGGACUGACGGAAAAGAUGGUUAGAAUUGCUUCCGGGUGGGAUUUGCACGAGAAGCGUUUGCCAUUAUUUAUUUUAUGACAUCAAGAAGUUUUAUGUAUGUGCACUUCCUCGAAAAUGCAUUACAGCUGUGCAUAAGUCGCCA